UGCGUGUGUGUGUGUGUUGGGAAAAUGGCCCAGCAGAAAAAAAAAAAAAAAAAGGAAUUGCAUCAUAUUCUUUGAGCUCCUGUCACCUUUCUGCAUAAAAGCGCUGUCUUCACACAACAUGAAAGUAAACGAUCGCACAAAAACUAAGCCGCAGACUCUGCUUUUGCAUGGAAUUAAUAAUGCACAGUACCGAGAUGAUGUUUGUUCUUGCCUCUUCUCCAAGAAGGUCAUUUUGACAGUAAGCUGCUACUUUGUUUGACCUUGAGAAUGUCAGGUUUUUUUUUCUUUUCCACUGGCAUGUAACAAUGUAGAAUUAAACAAAUCCAGUGCGACAUUAUCAUCAUCAUCAUAAUCUCAGCAAUGCAACUUUAUUAUUUUAUGCGCCAUGAUUUAUUGAGAUGUGGGAGCUACUUAGUUGAAAGUUUGUGUUUAAGGGACACAAUGGACUCGUCACCAAAUACUGACUGACUGACUGAGUGAGACGUGUGCAUGUUUAGCUGUCGCUGUCAGAAACAGGCCCAUAUUCAUACAACUCUCAGUGUGUGCACAUAGUUUUCAAUGCAGCCUCGUAUGGAGCAAUAAAGUGCAAUUUGUCAUUUGUCUAGUGAGAAGAAAGGGAAGAACUGAAAAGAAAUUGGUUUCUCAUUGCCGUAUCACUGCAGAUUUUUCCUUUAUUGUUCCAUAGUGAUAAAGUGUCCCAGUCGGGAAAUCAGGAAGUACAAGCAUAAGUGUUGUUUUUCUUCUUCUUCUCCGUCUGAUCUGAUUUGCCUUUUUUUUUUUGUCUGCUUUGUAUUUAUUGCCACCAUUUGAAUGGGAGGUUACUGAUACUGCUGGUGCACACAGUGGAAAAAUCUGAUGUCUGUGGUGAGACCUAGCAAGUCUAAAUCAGCAGCUGGUAACUAGGACUGGAUUACUUUCAUCUUGACCAACCCUGACUUGAUGGCUGGCUGGUCGGAUGCUCAAAAGCCUGACUUUUUUUUUCUGGUUGGUGAAAAACAUUAUGCCUAGUUGCAGAAAGAUCAUGCUUAAAAAUCAGGAAGUGAGACUUCAGCGUCUGGCACUUAUCUUCUGGCCUUGAGGUGUUUUUCUCUGAUUUAUUUUAAUUCACAUUUAUAUGUCUAAGAAACAUAGCAUAGAUAAGAUUGAUGUAAAGUGGCCAUCAAAGAAAUGUGUUCUUUGCAUGAAUUUCUUCAUUUUUUUUUUAAACGUGGGAUUUUCUUAUAAAGCUCACCUGCUCUAGAUAUUUUUAUUUUUCCUCAGACAUUCUCUUUGUACUCGUUCUGUCACAUUCUCUUAUUUGUAAGUAUGCACUGCACAAUAUGCUCUAAUGGUGAGGCACCAGGACUGAACAGAAACUUUGGUUGAAACCUGUUAAGACCUUCAGAAUGUAAUAAAAGUAAAAAUCAAGGGCAAGUUAAAACACUACAAGAGAAGCCUGUUCUGUUUGUUGUUUUUUUUUUUGUAUGCAGGUGCUGUUUAAAGAAAUCAAUUACGGUUGAAAGUACAAAAACAUUUUGUUCAUGUUUAGCUAAUAAACGUGUAAAGAUAUGCUGAAAACACCGAAGAACUUCAGCCAUCGUCCCAUUUUUCAGUGCUUUCAGGAACACCAGGAAUCAAGCAGACAGAUUCACAUGACUUCUGAAUCCUCAAAGUCAGAGAGGCCGCUGCACUCCAUCUCACAUAAUUCCACGAGACAAUGCAUCAUCAAAGAGCCUUCACCCAGGCUUCCUCACCCUCUUCUCCCUCCGUUCCCCUCCUCUCAUUUCUAGCCUCCCCCCCUCCUCUCUCGUUCCUCCGCUCCUGCUUACCUGUUAUCCCCCACUCCGCCUGUCACCCGGCAGCUCCGUCCUCCUAAUCCCUUCUGAAAAGAGACGACGGAGCAGAAAAUCACCUCUCCACCUCUGUCACACACUCCCUCGCUCUCUUUUGUCUUUAGCUCUGGUCUCCAGCUGACCCCCUCGUAUGCCAUCUCUAGCGAGCUGUCUCCCUACCUCAUCUCCCUCCACAAUAUUCAUCGCCUCACUCCUCCCUGGCCAAUUCUCCCUCCUCAAACACUUGGUACAUGUUCCCUCUCCUUAACUUGCUGAUGCGAUGGGAUAUAAUUGCUUAAUUUCCCAGCUUGUCACAGGCCAAACUCACCAUAACGGACCCCGCCAAAUCCAUCUGGUCAGAGCCAAGCGAAAUUAACGCCGGUGGAGAGGGAAAGACGUAAACACAAAUGAACACGAACACACAAACACUCAAGGGAGCGGAGACCUGAUGUGCUUUGAUGAGACUGGCAAGCAUAUUACACCCAUAUUGGGGGUGGUGAAGAGGGGGGGGAGAAAUCCCUGUCAUUUUAAGUGUAAGCUCAACAAAUGUCCUAACUUCAAAAGCUGAGUCUCACAAAUAUAUGUAUAUUUGUGAGACUAUAUAUAUUUAUAGUUGCUUGUGUGUACACUAUACACACAAGCAACACUAAUAAGAGUACAUGGCAUUUAACAAAUAUAUCCAAGUCUACUUUUGAGUUGGUACUCAUCCAAGUUAUGAAAAUAAGCUUACUUUUAUUUGCCUCUUAUACCAAAUUGUGUUUCCUUUAGGUUUAAGUAGCUCAGGCUCUUGAAAGUGCCCCAAAAUUCACUUUGAAAUAAAAUCCAAUAACAUUUUUUACACUGUAAAAUCUAGUCUGUUUUUUCAACAUAAAAAAAUUUAAGUGGCUGUCUUAACUUUCAAAUAUCCCCAUCAAACUAUUUGCUUUGUGGUGCAGUGAUAUAUCCAGCAACGGCUUCAAUGAGAAAUAAAUACCCUGCCCGACCUCUCUCGUCUGAUCUUUAUCCUUCUUGACUAAUUCGCCUCUCCAAACUGGAGAAGAAAAACAAUCUAUCUUUAUAAAAGUCUUUAGGAACUUCUCUGCUUGACAAAUAAAAGUGGUUUGUGACCAGGGGGCUGGUUGUGCCAUCAGGAUGUGCGGGAAGCUUUCCGAAAAGCUGGUCUGCUCAGGUCUGAACACUGGGAAUUUAUUUUUUUUGUUUGUUUUUUUUGUUUACCCCAUAGAGAAGCAGCGCUGUCCUAAUGGCCACAGGUGCAGAGUGAGACGUCAGUCUGAUAGUUUGCCUAUUAGGGGUUAGUUUCAAGCAGUGCCUCCGAUUUGAAAAAUAAGAGAGAAAAAGGAAAUUUAAGGAGGG